rnacentral:misc_RNA from 1 species
GAUGAAGAACGCAGCGAAAUGCGAUAAGUAAUGUGAAUUGCAGAAUUCAGUGAAUCAUCGAAUCUUUGAACGCACCUUGCGCCCUUUGGCUAUUCCGGAGGGCAUGCCUGUUUGAGUAUCAUGAACACCUCAACUCUCAUGGCUUGCCAUGAUGAGCUUGGACUUUUGGGGGUCUUGCUGGCCUGUGGUCAGCUCCUCUCAAAUGAAUUAGCCUGCCAGUGUUUGGUGGCAUCACAGGUGUGAUAACUAUCUACGCUUGUGGUUUUCCACCAGGUAACCUUCAGUGAUGAAGGUUCGCUGGGGCUCAUAAACGUCUCUCCUCAGUGAGGACAGCUCUUUGAACGUUUGAUCUCAAAUCAGGUAGGACUACCCGCUGAACUUAAGCAUAUCAAUAAGCGGAGGA